AGACCCGAAACCCGGUGAUCUAGCCAUGGGCAGGUUGAAGGUUGGGUAACACUAACUGGAGGACCGAACCGACUAAUGUUGAAAAAUUAGCGGAUGACCUGUGGCUGGGGGUGAAAGGCCAAUCAAACCGGGAGAUAGCUGGUUCUCCCCGAAAGCUAUUUAGGUAGCGCCUCGUGAAUUCAUCUCCGGGGGUAGAGCACUGUUUCGGCUAGGGGGCCAUCCCGGCUUACCAACCCGAUGCAAACUGCGAAUACCGGAGAAUGUUAUCACGGGAGACACACGGCGGGUGCUAACGUCCGUCGUGAAGAGGGAAACAACCCAGACCGCCAGCUAAGGUCCCAAAGUCAUGGUUAAGUGGGAAACGAUGUGGGAAGGCCCAGACAGCCAGGAUGUUGGCUUAGAAGCAGCCAUCAUUUAAAGAAAGCGUAAUAGCUCACUGGUCGAGUCGGCCUGCGCGGAAGAUGUAACGGGGCUAAACCAUGCACCGAAGCUGCGGCAGCGAACGUAUCACUUAAAGCGAUUCAGCGGGUUACGAUUGACGGAGCGAAGCGACGUCAAAGCGUAUACAAAGUCGAGUCGGUUUAAGGAUACGUUCGUUGGGUAGGGGAGCGUUCUGUAAGCCUGCGAAGGUGGCCUGUGAGGGUUGCUGGAGGUAUCAGAAGUGCGAAUGCUGACAUAAGUAACGAUAAAGCGGGUGAAAAGCCCGCUCGCCGGAAGACCAAGGGUUCCUGUCCAACGUUAAUCGGGGCAGGGUGAGUCGACCCCUAAGGCGAGGCCGAAAGGCGUAGUCGAUGGGAAACGGGUUAAUAUUCCCGUACUUGGUGUUACUGCGAAGGGGGGACGGAGAAGGCUAUGUUGGCCGGGCGACGGUUGUCCCGGUUUAAGCGUGUAGGUGUGUGUUCCAGGUAAAUCCGGUUCACUUUAACACUGAGGCGUGAUGACGAGGCACUACGGUGCUGAAGCAACAAAUGCCCUGCUUCCAGGAAAAGCCUCUAAGCAUCAGGUAACAUCAAAUCGUACCCCAAACCGACACAGGUGGUCAGGUAGAGAAUACCAAGGCGCUUGAGAGAACUCGGGUGAAGGAACUAGGCAAAAUGGUGCCGUAACUUCGGGAGAAGGCACGCUGACAUGUAGGUGAAGUGAUUUACUCA
rnacentral:rRNA from 1 species